GGCGUGGUAGCUCAGCUGGUUAGAGCACGCGAUUCAUAAUCGCGAGGUCGAGAGUUCAAGUCUCUCUCACGCUA
rnacentral:tRNA from 1 species